rnacentral:rRNA from 1 species
GUCUACAGCCAUGCCACCCUGAACAUGCCCGAUCUCGUCUGAUCUCGGAAGCUAAGCAGGGUCAGGCCUGGUUAGUACUUGGAUGGGAGAAGACCACCUAGGAAUACCAGGUGCUGUAGGCU